AACGAACGCUGGCGGCAUGCCUAACACAUGCAAGUCGAACGAAGCCUUCGGGCUUAGUGGCGCACGGGUGCGUAACGCGUGGGAAUCUGCCCUUGGGUUCGGAAUAACAGUUAGAAAUGACUGCUAAUACCGAAUGAUGUCUUCGGACCAAAGAUUUAUCGCCCAAGGAUGAGCCCGCGUCGGAUUAGCUAGUUGGUGAGGUAAAGGCUCACCAAGGCGACGAUCCGUAGCUGGUCUGAGAGGAUGAUCAGCCACACUGGGACUGAGACACGGCCCAGACUCCUACGGGAGGCAGCAGUGGGGAAUAAUUGGACAAUGGCGAAAGCCUGAUCCAGCAAUGCCGCGUGAGUGAUGAAGGCCUUAGGGUUGUAAAGCUCUUUUACCCGGGAUGAUAAUGACAGUACCGGGAGAAUAAGCCCCGGCUAACUCCGUGCCAGCAGCCGCGGUAA
rnacentral:rRNA from 1 species